CCAUCAUUUAAAGAAAGCGUAAUAGCUCACUGGUCGAGUCGGCCUGCGCGGAAGAUGUAACGGGGCUAAACCAUGCACCGAAGCUGCGGCAGCGACGCUUAUGCGUUGUUGGGUAGGGGAGCGUUCUGUAAGCCUGUGAAGGUGUACUGUGAGGUAUGCUGGAGGUAUCAGAAGUGCGAAUGCUGACAUAAGUAACGAUAAAGCGGGUGAAAAGCCCGCUCGCCGGAAGACCAAGGGUUCCUGUCCAACGUUAAUCGGGGCAGGGUGAGUCGACCCCUAAGGCGAGGCCGAAAGGCGUAGUCGAUGGGAAACAGGUUAAUAUUCCUGUACUUGGUGUUACUGCGAAGGGGGGACGGAGAAGGCUAUGUUGGCCGGGCGACGGUUGUCCCGGUUUAAGCGUGUAGGCUGGUUUUCCAGGCAAAUCCGGAAAAUCAAGGCUGAGGCGUGAUGACGAGGCACUACGGUGCUGAAGCAACAAAUGCCCUGCUUCCAGGAAAAGCCUCUAAGCAUCAGGUAACAUCAAAUCGUACCCCAAACCGACACAGGUGGUCAGGUAGAGAAUACC
rnacentral:rRNA from 1 species